AGACAAAUUGAGAUGGCUAGUAUGGAUGACUCUUCUGAGGGUUUUUGCCAGAAAUGGGAUAAAAACAUAGGGCAGUAGCUGGUGGGGGGUGGAGAAGUAUCUUGAAGGUAGAAAGGCCAAGUAUGUGGAUGCAGGUCCUGUGGAAACUUAUUUCUGAUGUAUUCAUUUUUCUCAUUAAAAUACAAAAUAAAUAUCAGUUGCAGGUAUGGACAGGGAAAAAGGGGUUGCAGGUUUUAGUGGGGAGGAGCGAUCACCUAGGAGGGGGACAUGAGAGAAGGGACUGGGGGGUGGGUUGUGACUGCCGGGGACAUCACAGGUCCACUUGAGGUUCUCAGUCAUGAAAGUAAAAUGUGAUCAGGCAGCAUGGUUGUGUUGAAAUCCAAGUUUUAAAAAACUCUACAGAGAAUCACUGCUCCCAGUCACAGAACUGAUUUACUUGGCUGUGAUCUCCCUUCAUUUUUAAAUAUCCUUUCAUUGAUAUAUAACAUAUAGAGAAAAAUAUGCAAAUUAAAAAAAAAAAUUUUAACUGUCUCUCCUUUGAAUGGUGAUAAAAGGGAAAUUGCCAGUUGAACUAGAGAGAGAGAGAGAGAGAGAAUAAGCAAGCUUUGAUAAUGAGCCCUGAAAAACCAAGAGCGCCUUCCAGUUCUGUCUUUACCACUUUCAGGUCCAGUCACUGGUCUGCAGUAACCAUUUUGUGCAAGACACUGUCCUGGGCAUGAAGGGGUGAACAAAAGGUCAAGUUUCUUCCUUUGUGGAAGGGAAAAUGAUUUUUCAGUGCUUCCCGUGUGACUGGAGUGCCAGAACCUCUCUAGAUCCGAGUAUUCAGUUGUGAACCCUGAGGGAAUGCACUGAUUUGGAUUCAUCUGAAGGCAUCUGGUUGGUGUGAGAGUUGACCUGUGUUUACAGGAAGGUAGAGGCCAUGUUCUCUCCCUCUCAGGUCUCAGGAGCUACGCUGGGGUGUGGGCUCUGUGCCCCGCUGAGCUCUGCCUGGGGCUCUGGAGGCUGAGUGUAAGUGUGGCACCAUCACUCAGCUCCUUUCUUGUUUUUCAGGGUUGGGGUGCUGAGUAUCAUCGCCAGGAUGUCACCAGCACCCCCUGCUGGAUUGAGAUUCAUCUUCAUGGGCCACUGCAGUGGCUGGACAAAGUUCUGACUCAGAUGGGCUCUCCACAUAACCCCAUUUCUUCAGUGUCUUAACAGUCAUGUCUUAAGCUGCAUUUCCAUAGGAUAGAGGCUAUUGCAGGGAGUGGCUUGUAUCAUUUCAGAUUUGCAACUGAAGUUUCUAAAAACAUGUGUAAAUACAUAGAAUGUAUACUGUUCUUAUUUUUUUUAAUCACCGUUUGUUUUGUGCUUUCUAGUUAACCUGAUGCCAGUACAGUGCAAUUGGAAAAGCAGGACUUUGGUGCCUGUGCUAUAAGCAGCAGAUUUUGUGGGAGGAAACACUUGAGAGGCGAUAUUGUCAACAGUAUUUGAAGGGUGUUAGCAGAAUAAAAGACAGCUUUAGUCA
rnacentral:lncRNA from 1 species